rnacentral:tRNA from 1 species
GCUCCAGUGGCGCAAUCGGUUAGCGCGCGGUACUUAUACAACAGUGUGUGCGCAAGAGCGAUGCCGAGGUUGUGAGUUCAAGCCUCACCUGGAGCA